GAUUGUUGCCAGCAAAGGAGGUUUUGAAAUGGUCACCAAAGGAAAGAAGUGGUCUAAAGUCGAUAGCUGCUUGGGAUAUCUGCCAGGAAAAGAAACUGGGUCUCUCUUCAAAGUCUCACUGUGAAAGAAUUCUCUACCCAUAUGAGCUGUUCCAGUCUGGCGUCAGUCUUAUGUGGGCAGCUUAUAUUGUGGAAAGAAACCUCGAAGACCUAAACAAAGAAAACAUUUCUGAUAAACAAAAGGAUUCCUCUCUGCACGUGGGACCUGAAGUGGCACUAUGUCACAUUCUACUCUCCUUCAUGCCCCCUUAGAGCCCAGGCUGAAGAGAAAUGCACAGUCUUGCAAGAGAUGCAGCACAGACAUGUAGGAAAACGUAGGAUUAUCAAGCCAGAGUUGCCGGAGUCAGAAGGAUGGAAUGUGAAUGGACGAAGCUCUGACACAGUUAUGCUUCCAAGUAACAGCAUCUUUUGAUGACUCUAUGAAGAACAAUCAUAUUAUCUCAAGUCCUAGUUUUGGUGUAUGAAGACUGCAGCCCAAACCAGCAGAACCUGGAACCAAGUCUGGAACACUUAAGUGCCUCAUUGCAGGGAGGCGAACAAGACCAACCCUUGGAAGAUGAAGCCAUGGGCAGCCAGUGUCUGUGGGUGCUGGGGAAACUGGCCGAGCCCUUCUGGCUCUGAAGUGGCAGGCAAGAUGAUUUGGGUAUGGGGAGGCUGGCAAGCUGGCUCUGGAAAGGAUGGUGAUAGGGCUGUGGGCACAGGAGGCACAGGCAGAGCCAACCUGGCUAUG